ensembl:snoRNA
UACCACAAUUAAAAAUAACAUAAUAAUAAUGUGGCUAUUCUGAGACACAGGUUAUGCUUCCAUCACAGUAAGUUUAUUGCAGUGGUGACAAUGAGACCUGUAACAUUU